CUCAGACACAAGCCAUCAGUAUCCCUGCUCUUUGCACCUUGACAUGCAUGUCACCGCUGUUUGUUAACCUAGCUUUGCUGAUUUGUAUCUUGUGAUGUGUGUUUUUCUUAACAGGUGUUAGAUGACUGACAAGAUCUAUGGGGGGGCCCCCUUUGGGCCCCCCCAUACCAACUUAGUCUUCAAAGGAAUCUAGUGCCAUGGGUCUCCAGUGUCUUCAAAACAUCCUCGGAAUACAUGUGUAUGAAUGGUCCACCGAAGGGUUGAUCUGGAAGCCACCACGGUCCACGCAGUAAUCUGCUGCGUGGGCCGUAGUGGCUUCCAGAGCCAUCUUUCGGUCUUGGUCAGGAUUUGUUACAGUUGCCCUUCAAUGUAGCAGGCUACGGGUUUCUGAAGAAUCUUGCUUUACGUAGCAUUGGAGUACAAAUAUUGUGCAAAAUGCUCAUGUAAUUGCACUAGCACUGGUAACCUGUAGAUUAGCUUAGUUCAACGUCAUUCUGUGCUGUCUGUCAAAUGUGUGGCUUACUUUAAGUCCACAAGGCCCUCUGGUAAACCACGUUUGAACAACCCUGGACAAGGUGAUUAGUCACUGGGUGUGUGCUAAAGUUUUGUUCCAUUUUUCACUAGUUGGUUAAGGUUUGGUAGAAUUGUUUGGAUGCUAGCGACGUGAUGGCGUAUGUACAAGAGCCUACCUCUUCAUUUGUAACAGAAUAAUUAACAUGACUAACUGGGUUUCUUCCAUUUUCUAACUAGGGGGACUUGACUGGUGAGUCUACUGGAUUAAUCAGUAGCGGUACUUUGCCCAACAGAUUUGAUGGCAUGACUACAGGGUGACAAAGACAAUUAUUCCCUGCCUAUCAAAAGAGACUUCUAAAACAUAUCUGCUAGAACAGUUCCUAUACUUUUUGUAUAAUUUGGUCAUGCUGCAAAUUUACUUUUUGUAGUUGCUCCAUAUUUAGUUCUUUGACAGCCUCACCUGCUAGAAAAGUCUAUUGAAAUCGGCUAAAUAUAAUGAACUAAAUAAAUAGCCAUGAAAUGUUGUCACUCAUACUAAUGGCAAAUACCCCCUUUCAG
ensembl:lncRNA